rnacentral:rRNA from 1 species
GACGAACGCUGGCGGCGUGCUUAACACAUGCAAGUCGAACGGAAAGGCCCUGCUUUUGUGGGGUGCUCGAGUGGCGAACGGGUGAGUAACACGUGAGUAACCUGCCCUUGACUUUGGGAUAACUUCAGGAAACUGGGGCUAAUACCGGAUAGGAGCUCCUGCUGCAUGGUGGGGGUUGGAAAGUUUCGGCGGUUGGGGAUGGACUCGCGGCUUAUCAGCUUGUUGGUGGGGUAGGGGCUUACCAAGGCUUUGACGGGUAGCCGGCCUGAGAGGGUGACCGGCCACAUUGGGACUGAGAUACGGCCCAGACUCCUACGGGAGGCAGCAGUGGGGAAUAUUGCACAAUGGGCGGAAGCCUGAUGCAGCAACGCCGCGUGCGGGAUGACGGCCUUCGGGUUGUAAACCGCUUUCGCCUGUGACGAAGCGUGAGUGACGGUAAUGGGUAAAGAAGCACCGGCUAACUACGUG